rnacentral:misc_RNA from 1 species
AAGUCGUAACAAGGUUUCCGUAGGUGAACCUGCGGAAGGAUCAUUAUCACGUAUCCACGUAUAAACCAUUGUGAACUAGUAAUCUUUUUAUCCUUUGGAAGAGAGUGAGGUUGUGGGAUUGUUAAACAUUAUGAAACUCUAUUUAAAGUGAUUUGUAGUUUCGUUUUUCAAUCUCCUAUGGUUCUUCGGAGCUAUACUCGUUCACUUUUCAAAGUGUAUUUUAAAUCACUUUUUAAAAAUUAACAAAUGAAACUCAAUUUUAUAAACUUUUGAACUGACUUAUUUCUUACUCUUUAAUUGGAGAAGAAAUUCAUUUACGAAACAUAAGAACAACUCUUAGCAACGGAUAUCUUGGUUCUC